rnacentral:sRNA from 1 species
CUGGAGCUGGCGGAGAGCAGCCUUCGGGAAGUCCUGCAGGAGCCGCGUUCCAGGAGGGCAGCUGGCAGCCGCCCCAGGCCCCCCGGCCGCCUGCAGGUGAUUAGGCUAAUGAGCUGCCCCGGGGGCGCGGAGACUGGCCUGGCGAGCGGAUUACCCGGCGCCCAGCUGCUGCCGGCGGAGACUCCCAGGAGCUCCGGAGAGGAACCCUCCGAAGGUGACUUCAGAACUGGAGUUACCUGGCUGAGCAGUGCUGGAAUGGCGGCUUUAUCUACCUGAUCAUGCUGCGUCGCUUUAAGCACAAAGCCCACUCCACUUAUAAUGGCAACAGUAGCAACAGCUCUGAACCAGGAGAAACACCUACCCUGGAGCUGGGUGACCGAACUGCGAAAAAGGGGAAACGAACCAGAAAGUUUGGGGUCAUCUCCAGGCCUCCUGCCAACAAGGCCCCUGAAGAAUCCAAGGGCAGCGCUGGCUGUGAGGUGUCCAGUGACCCCAGCACUGAGCUGGAGAACGGCCCUGACCCUGAACUUGGAAACGGCCAUGUCUUUCAGCUAGAAAAUGGCCCAGAUUCUCUCAAGGAGGUGGCUGGACCCCAUCUAGAGAGGUCAGAAGUGGACAGAGGGACAGAGCAUAGAAUUCCAAAGACAGAUGCUCCUCUGACCACAAGCAAUGACAAACGCCGCUUCUCAAAAGGUGGGAAGACGGACUUCCAAUCGAGUGACUGCCUGGCACGGGAGGAAGUUGGCCGAAUAUGGAAGAUGGAGCUGCUCAAAGAAUCGGAUGGGCUGGGAAUUCAGGUUAGUGGAGGCCGAGGAUCAAAGCGCUCACCUCACGCUAUCGUUGUCACUCAAGUGAAGGAAGGAGGUGCCGCUCACAGGGAUGGCAGGCUGUCCUUAGGAGAUGAGCUGCUGGUAAUCAAUGGUCAUUUACUGGUCGGGCUCUCCCACGAGGAAGCAGUGGCCAUUCUUCGCUCCGCCACGGGAAUGGUGCAGCUUGUGGUGGCCAGCAAGGAAAACUCCGCAGAGGACCUCCUCAGGUUAACAUCUAAGAGCUUGCCAGAUCUGACCAGCUCAGUAGAAGAUGUGUCCUCCUGGACUGAUAACGAAGACCAGGAGGCAGACGGGGAAGAGGACGAAGGAACCAGCUCUUCUGUCCAGAGAGCAAUGCCUGGGACAGAUGAACCCCAAGAUGUGUGCGGUGCUGAGGAAUCCAAGGGGAACUUGGAAAGUCCCAAACAGGGCAGCAAUAAAAUCAAGCUCAAGAGUCGCCUUUCAGGGGGUGUACACCGCCUUGAGUCAGUUGAAGAAUAUAACGAGCUGAUGGUGCGGAAUGGGGACCCCCGGAUCCGGAUGUUGGAGGUCUCCCGAGAUGGCCGGAAACACUCCCUCCCGCAGCUGCUGGACUCUUCCAGUGCCUCACAGGAAUACCACAUUGUGAAAAAGUCUACCCGCUCCUUAAGCACGACUCAGGUGGAAUCUCCUUGGAGGCUCAUUCGGCCAUCCGUCAUCUCGAUCAUUGGGUUGUACAAAGAAAAAGGCAAGGGCCUUGGCUUUAGUAUUGCUGGAGGUCGAGACUGCAUUCGUGGACAGAUGGGGAUUUUUGUCAAGACCAUCUUCCCAAAUGGAUCAGCUGCAGAGGACGGAAGACUUAAAGAAGGGGAUGAAAUCCUAGAUGUAAAUGGAAUACCAAUAAAGGGCUUGACGUUUCAAGAAGCCAUUCAUACCUUUAAGCAAAUCCGGAGCGGAUUAUUUGUUUUAACGGUACGCACAAAGUUGGUGAGCCCCAGCCUCACACCCUGCUCGACACCCACACACAUGAGCAGAUCCGCCUCCCCGAACUUCAAUACCAGUGGGGGAGCCUCGGCGGGAGGUUCCGAUGAAGGCAGUUCUUCAUCCCUGGGUCGGAAGACCCCUGGGCCCAAGGACAGGAUCGUCAUGGAAGUAACACUCAACAAAGAGCCAAGAGUUGGAUUAGGCAUUGGUGCCUGCUGCUUGGCUCUGGAAAACAGUCCUCCUGGCAUCUACAUUCACAGCCUUGCUCCAGGAUCAGUGGCCAAGAUGGAGAGCAACCUGAGCCGCGGGGAUCAAAUCCUGGAAGUGAACUCCGUCAAUGUCCGCCAUGCUGCUUUAAGCAAAGUCCACGCCAUCUUGAGCAAAUGUCCUCCAGGACCCGUUCGCCUUGUCAUCGGCCGGCACCCUAAUCCAAAGGUUUCCGAGCAGGAAAUGGAUGAAGUGAUAGCACGCAGCACUUAUCAGGAGAGCAAAGAGGCCACUUCCUCUCCUGGCUUAGGUACCCCCUUGAAGAGUCCCUCUCUUGCAAAAAAGGACUCCCUUAUUUCUGAAUCUGAACUCUCCCAGUACUUUGCCCACGAUGUCCCUGGCCCCUUGUCAGACUUCAUGGUGGCCGGUUCUGAGGACGAGGAUCACCCAGGAAGUGGCUGCAGCACGUCGGAGGAGGGCAGCCUGCCUCCCAGCACCUCCACUCACAAGGAGCCUGGAAAACCCAGAGCCAACAGCCUCGUGACUCUUGGGAGCCAUCGGGCCUCUGGGCUCUUCCACAAGCAGGUGACAGUUGCCAGACAAGCCAGUCUCCCCGGAAGCCCACAGGCCCUCCGAAACCCUCUCCUCCGCCAGAGGAAGGUAGGCUGCUACGAUGCCAACGAUGCCAGUGAUGAGGAAGAGUUUGACAGAGAAGCGGACUGCAUUUCACUCCCAGGGGCCCUCCCGGGUCCCAUCAGGCCUCUGUCAGAGGAUGACCCAAGGCGUGUCUCAAUUUCCUCUUCCAAGGGCAUGGACGUCCACAACCAAGAGGAACGACCCCGGAAAACACUGGUGAGCAAGGCCGUCUCGGCACCUCUUCUUGGUAGCUCAGUGGACUUAGAGGAGAGUAUCCCAGAGGGCAUGGUGGAUGCUGCGUCCUAUGCAGCCAACCUCACGGACUCUGCAGAGGCCCCCAAGGGGUGCCCUGGAAGCUGGUGGAAGAAGGAACUGUCAGGAUCAAGUAGCGCACCCAAAUUGGAAUACACAGUCCAUACAGACACCCAGAGUCUGACGAACACUGGGAGCCCCAGUUCCCCCCAGCAGAAAAGUGAAGGCCUGGGCUCCAGGCACAGACCAGUGGCCAGGGUCAGCCCCCACUGCAAGAGAUCCGAGGCUGAGGCCAAACCCAGUGGCUCACAGGCAGUGAACCUGACUGGCAGAGCCAAUGAUCCAUGCGAUCUGGACACGAGAGUCCAGGCCACUUCUGUCAAAGUGACUGUUGCUGGCUUUCAGCCAGUUGGAGCUGUGGAGAAGGAAUCUCUGGGAAAGCUGACCACUGGAGAUGCUUGUGUCUCUACCAGCUGUGCACUAGCCAGUGCUCUGUCCCAUCCGGAUGCCAGCCACCUCACAGAGAACCUGCCCAAAGCUGCAUCAGAGCUGGGGCAACAACCCAUGACUGGUAAGAUUAUUUUCCCAUUUGUUAAUCUUAAAGUAGGUGGGGAGAUACCCUAAUGAAAGCAUUAUACAGGCCAGGCGCAGUGGCUUACACCUGUAAUCCCAGCACUCUGGGAGGCCGAGGUGGGCGGACCACUUGAGGUCAGGAGUUUGAGACCAGCCUGGCCAACAUGGUGAAACCCCAUCUCUACUAAAAAUACAAAAAUUAGCCGGGCGUGGUGGUGCGCACCUGUAAUCCCAGCUACUUGGGAGGCUGAGGCAGGAGAAUCGCUUGAACUGUGUAGGCGGAGGUUGCAGUGAGCCAAGGUGGCACCAUUGCACUCCACCCUGGGCAACAAGAGCAAGACUCUGUC